rnacentral:rRNA from 1 species
GGCCUUGACAUACUAAGAACUUUCCAGAGAUGGAUUGGUGCCUUCGGGAACUUAGAUACAGGUGCUGCAUGGCUGUCGUCAGCUCGUGUCGUGAGAUGUUGGGUUAAGUCCCGNAACGAGCGCAACCCUUUUCCUUAUUUGCCAGCGGGUCAUGCCGGGAACUUUAAGGAUACUGCCAGUGACAAACUGGAGGAAGGCGGGGACGACGUCAAGUCAUCAUGGCCCUUACGGCCAGGGCUACACACGUGCUACAAUGGUCGGUACAAAGGGUUGCUACCUCGCGAGAGGAUGCUAAUCUCAAAAAGCCGAUCGUAGUCCGGAUCGCAGUCUGCAACUCGACUGCGUGAAGUCGGAAUCACUAGUAAUCGCGGAUCAGAAUGCCGCGGUGAAUACGUUCCCGGGCCUUGUACACACCGCCCGUCACACCAUGGGAGUUUGUUGCACCAGAAGUAGGUAGUCUAACCGCAAGGAGGACGCUUACCACGGUGUGGCCGAUGACUGGGGUGAAGUCGUAACAAGGUAGGCGUAGAUGA